rnacentral:rRNA from 1 species
GUGCCAGCAGCCGCGGUAAUACGGAGGAUGCAAGCGUUAUCCGGAUUUAUUGGGUUUAAAGGGUGCGUACGCGGAAAAUUAAGUCAGUGAUGAAAUCCUGCAGCUCAACUGUAGAACUGUUAUUGAUACUGAUUUUCUUGAAUUUAGUUGAGGUAGGCGGAAUGUGUAAUGUAGCGGUGAAAUGCUUAGAUAUUACACAGAACACCGAUUGCGAAGGCAGCUUACUAAGCUAAAAUUGACGCUGAGGCACGAAAGCGUGGGGAGCGAACAGGAUUAGAUACCCUGGUAGUCC